GAUGAACGCUGGCGGCGUGCCUAAUACAUGCAAGUCGAGCGAACAGACGAGGAGCUUGCUCCUCUGACGUUAGCGGCGGACGGGUGAGUAACACGUGGAUAACCUACCUAUAAGACUGGGAUAACUUCGGGAAACCGGAGCUAAUACCGGAUAACAUGUUGAACCGCAUGGUUCAACAGUGAAAGACGGCUUUGCUGUCUCUUAUAGAUGGAUCCGCGUCGCAUUAGCUAGUUGGUAAGGUAACGGCUUACCAAGGCAACGAUGCGUAGCCGACCUGAGAGGGUGAUCGGCCACACUGGAACUGAGACACGGUCCAGACUCCUACGGGAGGCAGCAGUAGGGAAUCUUCCGCAAUGGGCGAAAGCCUGACGGAGCAACGCCGCGUGAGUGAAGAAGGUCUUCGGAUCGUAAAACUCUGUUAUUAGGGAAGAACAACUGUGUAAGUAACUAUGCACGUCUUGACGGUACCUAAUCAGAAAGCCACGGCUAACUACGUG
rnacentral:rRNA from 1 species